UUCUGCACAGAUGCACAGAUGAUGUGUCA
rnacentral:piRNA from 1 species